GUUUUAAUCAAUAUCUGUUCAUUAAGCUUCAGGAGCUUGUCUUUAUAAGGUUAAUGCAUUUUCUGUUUGUGUGUGUAUGGGUAUAUGUUAUUUUGCAUCUAUGACUUCACAGUCUCCCAGACUUCUUCCCAACUCUCCAGUUAAGCAGUCAGUUUUCUUUUUCCCCGAGUUACUAACCCACAUUUUGAUUUCCCACCUUAAAUUACCGCCCUCCUGGUCUUCAGCCAGGAGCUGGGGCUUGCUUUUCAGGUUCAUGGACACAUGAUUCUGUGAACAAUUCAACCAGAAACUUGCCUUAACUUAUCCAGUGAUGUUAACUUCUAACUUUCUUCCGACUGCUGCUGUGGAGAGUUGGUACGGUUCUGCUUUACCCCUGAAAAUAACAAAACUAAGACAUUUUCAUUAUUCCCACAAGUGCUUAAAUGACCCAUUUCUCUGUCUCUAGUCAGAAAUACC
ensembl:lncRNA